GCUGCCUUUACGCAAAGAGGCCUCCACGAGGCGGGCAGCGGGCAACAGCUACGGCUGGCAGACAACUUUGC
rnacentral:ribozyme from 1 species